rnacentral:tRNA from 1 species
UUCUAUUUUUUCAAUUUGGGAGAGAUGGCUGAGUGGACUAAAGCGUCGGAUUGCUAAUCCGUUGUACGAAAUUUUCGUACCGAGGGUUCG